AGUGAACGCUGGCGGUAGGCCUAACACAUGCGAGUCGAACGGCAGCACAGUAAGUGCUUGCUCUUACGGGUGGCGAGUGGCGGACGGGUGAGGAAUACAUCGGAAUCUACUUUUUCGUGGGGGAUAACGUAGGGAAACUUACGCUAAUACCGCAUACGACCUACGGGUGAAAGCAGGGGAUCUUCGGACCUUGCGCGAUUGAAUGAGCCGAUGUCGGAUUAGCUAGUUGGCGGGGUAAAGGCCCACCCAGGCGACGAUCGGUAGAUGGUCUGAGAGGAUGGUCAGCCACACUGGAACUGAGACACGGUCCAGACUCCUACGAGAGGCAGCAGUGGGGAAUAUUGGACAAUGGGGGAGAGCCUGAUACAGCCAUACCGCGUGGGUGAAGAAGGCGUUCGGGUUGGAAAGCCCUUUUGUUGGGAAAGAAAAGAAGCAGGUUAAUACGCCGCUGUUAUGACGGUACCCAAAGAAUAAGCACCGGCUAACUUCGUG
rnacentral:rRNA from 1 species